CUCAGCACUUCUUCAGGGGAGGGCCCUUUCUUGUUCACUGUUGUGUCUCCCAGGGCCUAGCCUGGCACUGGCACGUGGCAGGCAUGUAGUGAUGACCACUGUAACGUUCCCCAGAGCCCACGUGCAUGCACACGUGCGGGGUGCCAGGACUGUGAGUGCCCUCCAGGCACGGAUAUAGAUGAGGAAACUGAGGCACAGAGAAGUGAAGUGACCUUCCCAGAGCCACACAACCAGGCUGUCUUACACCUCCCCGGAGGUAGAAGGUAACCUGUGGAGGCCGAUGGUGUGGAUGUUUCCUGUCUGAUGUGUAACGCAAAGUGUUCCUGUUCCAUGGUGACGCAAGUGAAUUGUGUUUAGUAGAGAAUAAAUCUCCGCCUGGUAAAUACUGAAUGCUCUGGUUUCCUGAGUUUAACAUUCACUUGCAGCUGAAUGAUGAUCAGGAGGAGAACCACAAGGCAUGCUGGCCCCCAGAGCACUGUGUCCAGGAAGGAGGCACAGGCUGGCACAGGCAGCCCGUGGACUCUACGCUCCACAGCUUUGGGCCAGCACCAGCAAAAUCAUGACUUGAGACCACUGUGCUCUUGACUUCCAUGUCGUAUUCACUUCCCUUUCACCAGGAUGCAACUCUUGAAGCAGAAAAAAUAACCUGCUUGUAAUAAUCAUCAGCUUCAUUUUCUUAGGAGUCUCAUGUCUCCUGCCAGAACAAUUCUAGAUAAAAUAUACUGUUUUUUCAAAAAUACUGUUACAUGCUACUCUGUAAACCUGUAGUAGACGCUCCAUUAAACAUUUUCAUUUAGUAUAAAAGAAAGUAUCACAUUAAGAAAAC
rnacentral:lncRNA from 1 species